CAGUCGCCGCGGGAAUACGAAGGGGGCUAGCGUUGUUCGGAAUUACUGGGCGUAAAGCGCACGUAGGCGGAUCGAUCAGUCAGGGGUGAAAUCCCAGGGCUCAACCCUGGAACUGCCUUUGAUACUGUCGAGCUGGAGUAUGGAAUAGGUGAGUGGAAUUCCGAGUGUAGAGGUGAAAUUCGUAGAUAUUCGGAGGAACACCAGUGGCGAAGGCGGCUCACUGGUCCAUUACUGACGCUGAGGUGCGAAAGCGUGGGGAGCAAACAGGAUUAGAUACCCCAGUAGUCCCUGUCUCUUAUAA
rnacentral:rRNA from 1 species